UACGGGGGGAGCAAGCGUUGUUCGGAUUUACUGGGCGUAAAGGGCGCGUAGGCGGUCAGCACAAGUCAGUUGUGAAAUCUCCGAGCUUAACUCGGAAAGGUCAACUGAUACUGCGGGGCUAGAGUGCGGAAGGGGCAACUGGAAUUCUCGGUGUAGCGGUGAAAUGCGUAGAUAUCGGGAGGAACACCGGUGGCGAAGGCGGCCUUCUGGGCGAGUUGCUGACACUGAGGCGCGACAGCGUGGGGAGCAAACAGG
rnacentral:rRNA from 1 species